rnacentral:lncRNA from 1 species
AAAAACGUUAGACCCCUUAAACCCUAAUUCUACGGAAGAUACAACGAAGCGGCCAUUACUGGUUAACUGCAGAAAAUGGUCGGUCCAUUGCUCCGAUCUCUCUGGUACACGUCUCUGAUACACAGCCACCAGCAAAUCCCUCUCUUUUUACUCCUCUAAUUAUCUAAAGCCUCAUUUAUUCGGAUGCGCCUUCUCCACAGCGAGCGCCACUGCCGCCGUUUCAUCCGCGGCGACUCUGGCCAGCUGAGGAACUUGGCUGUUAUAGCCCACGUCGACCAUGGAAGGACCGCCCUCAAAGAUAGGCUCCUCCGGCAGUGCGGUUCUGACAUCCCCCACAAAUAGACUCCAUCAGCCUCGAGCGCGAGCUUGGCAUCACCAUUGCUUCUUAGGUACUCAUUAAGAUACUACCUUCCUUGAAUUAUUCAUUACCUUUUUAUGUUUGCUUCCUUAUGAACUUCAUUGAAGAAGGAAAGUAAUUGGUUUAACAUCGCUCUGUUUUCCCAUGAAAUGCAUUUCACUCUGUUGUAAUUCUGAUUAUAUUCACUGCAUGCCAAAUUUCUGAAAGGGGGUGAUUUUAGCGUUGUAUGAAUUUCACGUGGGGUGUUUGAGUCAAUCAAUUGCUCUUAUAAAUUGAUGAAGUUCUAAACAAAAUACACAUAUUUCUAUUAAAUUGAUUUUUAAAAUUAAAAAAUACCAGGUGGUAGUGCCAUGAAUUGAUCCAGAAACAAGGUUAUUCCCAUGGACAGUGUGUUAAAAAUAAUAAAUAGGAGUGAGAUCAAGUGGGUAAAUUUGUUAUAAGAUAUACUAGGACAAGUAUGAAGUCCUUUGAGGUGGAAUUGCAUACAAUUUUAGAUCUUUUGGUUCCAUCUUUGUGUUUCUUUAUUUAGAUGUCUGACUUGUAUUACUGAUUUCACGCUUUCCACUACCACAAUACCAACUUUGAAGUGACAAAUGGUUCUUGAAAUAGGAAGAGAAGGAGAAGGAGAAGGAGAAUAUAGUGAGAAGAUAGAGUGAAAAAUAUGAGUUUAUUCAAUAUCAAAGUUUAACUAUUAUAUAGGGUUUAAAUUAGUCAAUUUAAGUAGGAAAGUACUGCAAAUUUUAUUAAAUCAAAGCAUAAUAAUUUUUCCUAAAAUAAGCAUCCAAUUUGGAAGUUAAACGACUCAUAGAAUCAUCAUUACGUUACCUAAAGUAAGUAUAUAAUUUGGAAAGUAAAUUAAAUAUUAUCUCUUCUAGGAUUUUCAUCAUAGGGAUUGCCAUCUCCUUUUCUAACUGGCGUCUGUUAAGUUAGCUGAAGCUUACGCUUUGAGGCCUGCCUUGUGAGGCUUUCAUUGAACGACUCAAGAUUUCCCCUUAAAUGUCAUUUUGAAUGCUCGCGUCUCAAUUCAUUGAGGCACUUCCUUGACUUAUUUUGUUUUAUACAAGGGAAGUCACCAUUAUGAGUGGAGGAUGAUGACAAAGAAUGAGGGGGAAAAUUACAAAGAUGAGGAGGACGAUAGGAGAAUGGAAAACACACUGAUGAUUCUUUUAAAGAUCCUACCAGUAACAAUGACAUAGGAGAUUUCUGGUAGUAAUGAAAAAAGUCGGUCUUACUGCUGCAACCAUUUGGUUGGUAGUAGGUCGAUGAAAGUUUAUGAGAUGUAAUUUUUUCCCGAGCAGCUAGAGGAUGUAGAUUUUUGGUCUCUUGUGACGGUGUAUUAUGGUUAAUGAAAAUAUAUUUAUAUUUCCUCUGUUGCUUAUGCUAAUUUACAUUUUAGAUGUCCGGAUGGACUAUACCACUGAUUUGUCACUUUUUAAUACCACCCUUUAAGAAGUGAAAAAUGAAAUUUGGAAAUUGUAUACACAAAUAGUUCUUGUUUUCUUGAUGCCAAUAGACUGGGUGUCUCUUCUUCUAAGUCUGCAUAUAAGGUCUCUUCUUCUAUGUCUGCACAUAAGGGCAAUGUAAGUUGUGGUGGAAUAAUAUUCGUGACUUUUGGAUUUGUACAUUCUUAUGAAGUUGACUUACAUCAUUUGUGUCUCAUGGAUUCCAUUUAUAAGUUUGAUAAAAUUUUCCCUGGCAAUGAUGAUAAAAGGCCGAACUUACGGCUGCCACCAUAUGGUUGGUAGUAGAUUGAUUAAUGUUUAGGCAAGGUAUUUUUCUGAGCCAGUGGAUGUAGAUUUUGUACAGACUAUCAUGCCAGUUAAGCAUUAUUAAUGAAAAUAUAUAAACACUAUCCUGCAUGAGGGUGGAAAUUGUAUGUAAAUAGUUCUUGAAGCGAGAGGUUGGGUAUCUCCCAUGCUAAAUUUCUCCGUAUAUAGGCAAUAUAAAUUGUUUUGCAGUAUUCAUGUCUUUUUUUAUUUGUAAGGAGCCUUUGAAGAGGUCUUGCAUAAUUUUUUGGAUCUCUUGGAUUCCAUCUUUUAUGUUUGAUAACAUUUCCCCUGGCAGACUGCUCAAUCCGAUCAACCCAACCCGAAACCGUCGGUUUGGAUUGGUUUUUUAAGUUCAGUUGGGUUAAAAAAUUAAAUUUGAGGUUCGGUUGGGUCUUGGUUUAUAAUUUAAAAUCCAACCCAAUGAAUUAAAAAAUUUAAUAUCUAAGAUGGAAAAAAAAAAUUCCUAAAUAAACACAAUAGUAAAGAUACGAGGAUAUGAGAACUUAUAAUUUAUAAACAUCCAUUUUAUUUACCUAGAUGAUUCACAUGAACACUUUGUACAAAUAAAAUGUUAUUUGACAAUAAAGUAAAAAUUAAGAACAUGAUGAUGAAAUAAAUAAAUCCCAAAAAUUUUAAAAAAGAAAAUGUUUUAUAAAUUUUAAACUUCUUUAUAAGUUAUUUUUCAGAAAGAAUUCCUUAUAUCUAUAUAAAAAAUAAAGAUUUUCAAGUAAUUUCAAACUUUAUAAAUUUAUCCAAAUUCAACAAAAAAUAAUCGGAUCAAACUUUAAUUGGGCCGAAGCCCAAAAUUGGGUUGGUUUGAUUUUAGAUUAAACCGACCAUGUUAAGUUGGGUUUGGGUUGAGAAAAAAUCGACCCAGCCUAUCCUAACCCAUGCCCAUCCCUACCUGGUAGUAAUGAUAAAAAGGUCGGAGUUACGGCUACUGCCAUUUGGUCGGUACUUGGUGGUAGAUUGAUGAAAGUUGGGUGAGGUAUUUUUUUGAGCCAGUGGAUGUAAAAGUUGCUUAGGGAUUAGAUUUUGUAUAGUAGAUCGUGCCAAUGUAGUGGAGCAGCAUUCUUGACUUUUUUUGAUUAGUGAGCAUUCUUAUGAAGUGAGUGACAUUCAUUUUUAGAUCUCUUGGAGCCUAUCUUUAUAUCGAAUAAGUUGUCUCUGUAAAAAGUCAACGCGGCAGAACAAAUAUUAGAGAGGAAGAAAUGCAACUAUUAUAUUCUCAUUUAAUUUUGGAGCAGCUGUGCAUCUAUAUAUAAAGAAGGAAAGGAAAAAUGCUAUACAUAAAGGGCAAAGAAUAUACAGGUGGCAAACCAAUUAACUAGUUCUAGAAUCUUCAGCAAAAAUAACCAACUGAGCAAUUUCAAAAAUGCCUAUGUCACGUCAGAUCUGUGAAGCUCCAAAUGCUGCUGAUUGUGCUGCUGCUGUUGAUUAAGCUCCAAGUGUUGUUGGUUGUCUUCAUGUCCCAAUACCCCCCACAAGAUGGAGAAUAUGUAUUAAUUAUUCCCAUCUUGGAGAGGUGAGAUGAGAUUGAAGGCCUGAGGGAAAUCAUAAGCAGGAAGAAGAGGGGCAGGAUUAGUUGUGCCAUUCAUUUGAAAUGGAAAAUAUCCUUUAUGGAAAACAACAUCACGAAAUAUGAAUAUUGAUUGUGUGUCAAAGUCUAGGAGUUUAUAUCCUUCCACACCAAAAGGGUAUCCAAGAAAAACACAUUUUCUUCCUAUCUCUAGAUAGAGUGGAAGCAAAACACAAUUAGCCAAAUGUUUUCAUGUGAGAGUAUGAUGGUUUCUUGUCAAAUAAUAACUCAAAAGGUGUUUUAUUUGAAAAUAAAGGUGUUGGGAUAUACAUAUACACCGCAGAUACAGUCAUUCCGGAAUUUUGCAGGGAUUUUGGCUUGGAUUUUAAGAGAAUGAGCUACGUUCAAGAGAUUAUGAUGUUUUCUUUCAACAACCCCGUUUUGUUGGGGGGAUUCGAUACAGCUUCUAUGAUGAGUAAUGCCAUUUUUAUUGAAAAAAACCUUCAUUUGAAAUUCUAGGCCAUUAUCACUUCAAAGGAUCUUAAUCUUAAAACUAAAUUGCGUUUCCACCAGAUUAUAGGAUGCUUCUAAACAAGCUCUAGUGUCAAAUUUUGCUUUAAGAGGAUAGACCCAAGUGCUUCUAGAGAAAUCGUCCACAAUGGUUAGAAAAUACUUGGAUCCAUCAUAAGCUUCUGUAGAACUUGGUUCCCAAAUGUCGAAGUGGAUGAGUUCGAGAUUUUGUUUAGUUUUAUGGGUGCUGAUAGGAAAUGGUAGUCUACGUUGCUUUGCAAGUGGACAUACACAACAAGGAACAUUGCUAGUGCCGGAUAAGUCAUUCUUAACAAUAGGAUCAGAAAUUAAAUUCAACCUUGAGAAAUGUGUAUGGCCAAGCACUGAUGCUCGAACUCGGGUUUUCGACCGGCGUACCCAUGUCGACACGACAUGACACGAGUACAGGUAUGAAAUACGGGACGGACACGGCCAAUUUCCACCGGACACGGCAAGGGAUGGAAAACUGCUGGACUUCACCGCCGCACCAUUGUUGCAGUCUUGCAGAUUCGCGUGUUGCUGGUUAGGGAAGAAGAAGGGAUUCAAUAGUUGGGCCUUUGUUUUUUAAAUUUUGGGCCUUUUUUUUAAUUUUUUGAGCCAUUGUGGUUGAAAACGGGCUGGCUGAUUUAGGGAAUAGUUGAGUUGUAGUUGGGCCUUUUUUUGGGGCCUUUUGAGCCCUUUUUUUUUUUUUUUUAUUCAUUGUGGUUGAAGUAUAUUUGCAUCAUUAAAUUGAUUAAGCAAAUUGCAUGAGCUUUA